AGUGAACGCUGGCGGCGUGCCUAAUACAUGCAAGUCGAACGGAGUGGCGCACGGGUGAGUAAGGUAUAGCUAAUCUGCCCUACACUAGAGGACAACAGAUGGAAACGACUGCUAAUACUCUAUAGUGUAGGAUGAGGAUAUAUUGUAUCAGCUAGUUGGGGAGGUAAUGGCGCACCAAGGUGAUGACGCAGAACUGGUCUGAGUGGAUGAUCAGUCACACGUGAACUGAGACACUGUGCAGACUCCUACGGGAGGCAGCAGUAGCGAAUAUUGCUCAAUGGGGGACACCCUGAAGCAGCAACGCCGCGUGGAGGAUGACCCUUUUCGGAGCAUAAACUCCUUUUGUUAGGGAAGCGGUACCUAACGAAUAAGCACCGGCUAACUCCGUGCCAGCAGCCGCGGUAAUAC
rnacentral:rRNA from 1 species